rnacentral:rRNA from 1 species
UACGUAGGUGACGAGCGUUAUCCGGAUUUAUUGGGCGUAAAGCGCGUGUAGGCGGUCCGGUAAGUCCGCUGUGAAAGUCGAGGGCUCAACCCUCGAAUGCCGGUGGAUACUGUCGGGCUAGAGUGCGGAAGAGGCGAGUGGAAUUCCUGGUGUAGCGGUGAAAUGCGCAGAUAUCAGGAGGAACACCUAUUGCGAAGGCAGCUCGCUGGGACGUUACUGACGCUGAGACGCGAAAGCGUGGGGAGCAAACAGG